CUAUUCCGAUCUCCAUGACGCCCCGCAGAUCCACACGGGGCUGAAGCCGUUCAAGUGCGACACGUGCGGCAAGUGCUUCACGACGGCGGGCGAGCAGCGCGCGCACGUGGAGCACGUGCACCUCAAGAAGCCCUGGCCGCGCCGCGCGCGCGCGCGCCCCGACCUCGCCUGGCGCGCGCACGCCCUCGAGUGACUCACGAAAACGUCAUGAUCAUGGAAACGAUGCGAGACAAUAUCUGUUCUAAUUAAAAGUGAUUAGGUAAUCGUGAAUGAUUGGAAUAGUUGGCACUGACUUAUCCGUUGCGAGGAAGCAUCGAACCCGUCUUGCCCUGGAAAUCUGCGGCUCUCGUGAACGCCCUCUUGCGCACGCCUCGAGAAUGACCACUGUGGUCUAAAUCGGUCAGGAGAACGUCGACCAUCAGCACGAACUAUUCCGAUCUGUAUCUUCUUUUACCGAUAUUUAAUAUUGUAAAUAACAAGUCGCACGGAUCUCGUAGUUGUGUGUGUUGUGGAUGUAUUUUAGAAUAUUUAAGUAACAUGUCCGUUGAGAUUUUUAUUUUAUUUAAUCUUUACAAAUACAGAUGAUGGAUGAAA